rnacentral:rRNA from 1 species
UACGUAGGGGGCGAGCGUUGUCCGGAUUUAUUGGGCGUAAAGAGCGUGUAGGCGGCCAGGUAGGUCCGUUGUGAAAACUCGAGGCUCAACCUCGAGACGUCGGCGGAAACCCUCUGGCUAGAGUCCGGAAGAGGAGAGUGGAAUUCCUGGUGUAGCGGUGAAAUGCGCAGAUAUCAGGAAGAACACCCGUGGCGAAGGCGGCUCUCUGGGACGGUACUGACGCUGAGGUGCGAAAGCGUGGGGAGCAAACAGG